CCUUUCCCAGGUACAUUUACCGAAACCUUAGCGAGCUUCAUUAAAGCUGGCCGAACGACUCUAAAUAACUCUGGCCCUCCCGUUGAACUUGAUCAAUGUUUGACCGGAAUGCUGGUAGAACUCUCACAGAGCUUUCUACGACACCAUGAGUCUGCGGGAAUGUCACGAGUGGACUACCUGCAUCCAUUUUCAAGUUGGAAACUGGAUCACAGACUAGAUAAUGGUGGGUGUCUCCCAGGGAGAUAUUUCAGAUAUAGCCGUGUCCUGACCUGCCAAAUGUCAGUUUUCGUGCUUACGAUUCAACGUUCCGUAGGUGAACCUGCGGAAGGAUCAUUA
rnacentral:rRNA from 1 species